UACGUACUUCCUCUGUCCGAAAAUACUUGUCACCAAAAUGGAUAAAAAUGAUGUAUCUAGAACUAAAAUACGUCUAGAUACAUCUUCUUUUAUCCAUUUUUAUGACAAGUAUUUCCGGACGAAGGGAGUACUAG
rfam:Triticum urartu cultivar G1812 contig998536, whole genome shotgun sequence.